GGCUGCUCCAACUCGAAAGAAGAUUCUUAGCUUUAAAAAGUAUGUUUGCUGCCGGAUUGAUGGGCCAUAUUCACCUUGAAAGUCCAGCCUCUGCUCCUAAGCAAGUAGCCCAGAGUAAAUAGCUGCACCCCAUGAACGGUGAUAAGAACGUUCUCUUGGAAGCGUGCGGAGGAUGCUUCUCAAUGCUGUGGUUUUCUGGUU
rnacentral:lncRNA from 1 species